rnacentral:rRNA from 1 species
AUUGAACGCUGGCGGCAGGCCUAACACAUGCAAGUCGAACGGUAGCACAGAGAGCUUGCUCUCGGGUGACGAGUGGCGGACGGGUGAGUAACGUCUGGGAAACUGCCCGAUGGAGGGGGAUAACUACUGGAAACGGUAGCUAAUACCGCAUAACGUCGCAAGACCAAAGUGGGGACCUUCGGGCCUCACACCAUCGGAUGUGCCCAGAUGGGAUUAGCUAGUAGGUGGGGUAAUGGCUCACCUAGGCGACGAUCCCUAGCUGGUCUGAGAGGAUGACCAGCCACACUGGAACUGAGACACGGGCCAGACUCCUACGGGAGGCAGCAGUGGGGAAUAUUGCACAAUGGGCGCAAGCCUGAUGCAGCCAUGCCGCGUGUAUGAAGAAGGCCUUCGGGUUGUAAAGUACUUUCAGCGGGGAGGAAGGCGGUGAAGUUAAUAGCUUCACCGAUUGACGUUACCCGCAGAAGAAGCACCGGCUAACUCCGUGCCAGCCGCCGCAGUAAAAC